UGGGGAAUAUUGCACAAUGGAGGGAACUCUGAUGCAGCGACGCCGCGUGAGUGAUGAAGGAAUUCGUUUCGUAAAACUCUGUUCUAUGGGAAGAAAAGGACUGUACCAUAGGAGAAAGCUCCGGCUAAAUACGUGCCAGCAGCCGCGGUAAUACGUAUGGAGCGAGCGUUGUCCGGAAUUAUUGGGCGUAAAGGGUGCGCAGGCGGCUUUACAAGUUGGAUGUGAAAUAUUGUGGCUCAACCACAAACGUGCAUCCAAAACUGCAAAGCUUGAGUUAAGGAGAGGUAAGUGGAAUUCCUGGUGUAGCGGUGGAAUGCGUAGAUAUCAGGAGGAAUACCGGUGGCGAAGGCGACUUACUGGACUUAAACUGACGCUCAGGCACGAAAGCGUGGGGAGCAACCAGG
rnacentral:rRNA from 1 species